rnacentral:rRNA from 1 species
CGUGUAGGCGGCUGAGCAAGUCAGAUGUGAAAUCCCUGGGCUUAACCCAGGAAGUGCAUUUGAAACUGCUUAGCUUGAGUAAGGAAGAGGGAAGUGGAAUUCCUGGUGUAGAGGUGAAAUUCGUAGAUAUCAGGAGGAACACCGGUGGCGAAGGCGACUUCCUGGUCCCAUACUGACGCUGAGACGCGAGAGCGCGGGGAGCAAACA